GAAUUAAAGUCACCGACAUAGCCCACCGGAUUAGCAAGCUGAAGUGGCAAUGGGCAGGCCACAUUGCACGCAGAGAAGAUGGCCGAUGGGGUCGAAAAGUGCUCGAGUGGAGACCACGGACUAGCAAGCGCAGCGUAGGACGUCCACCCACAAGAUGGACAGACGAUCUUGUUAAGGUCGCCGGAAGACGCUGGAUGCGGGUCGCUUCCAACCGGCACGUAUGGAGGUCCAAGGGGGAGGCCUAUGUUCAGCAGUGGACGUCUUAUGGCUGAGAUGAUGAUGAUGAUGAUGAAGUCCAGCAUUAUCCUAGACACGAUUGAUAUCCCAGCACCCAAAGGAAAAUAUUGUUAACAGGAAUGUGCCAACGGGACCCGAAGUGGAGAGUCAGGAAAAGAAACACACUAGGCAAGCUUGGUGAUAUUUAAUUGUCCUACGCCGCAUGUCGAAUAAAAAGGAAGAGAGAAAAUACUUUUCAAGGGUAAUAAAGAAGAUUCUUACAAUUUCUCUAUUGUGGUUCUAGAUGUUAAUAAUAUAUUAGGUUUAAUAAUAAGAAGUCGAAUAUUGCAAGAAUAUAUAAGGCAAAGCAAUAUACUAUUAAUUUAAA